rnacentral:rRNA from 1 species
GGGUUGUGAGGUUAAGCGACUAAGCGUACACGGUGGAUGCCCUGGCAGUCAGAGGCGAUGAAGGGCGUGCUAAUCUGCGAUAAGCGCCGGUAAGGUGAUAUGAACCGUUAUAACCGGCGAUACCCGAAUGGGGAAACCCAGUGUGACUCGUCACACUAUCAUUAACUGAAUCCAUAGGUUAAUGAGGCGAACCGGGGGAACUGAAACAUCUAAGUACCCCGAGGAAAAGAAAUCAACCGAGAUUCCCCCAGUAGCGGCGAGCGAACGGGGAGGAGCCCAGAGCCUGAAUCAGCAUGUGUGUUAGUGGAAGCGUCUGGAAAGGCGCGCGAUACAGGGUGACAGCCCCGUACACAAAAGCGCAUGUGCUGUGAGCUCGAUGAGUAGGGCGGGACACGUGGUAUCCUGUCUGAAUAUGGGGGGACCAUCCUCCAAGGCUAAAUACUCCUGACUGACCGAUAGUGAACCAGUACCGUGAGGGAAAGGCGAAAAGAACCCCGGCGAGGGGAGUGAAAAAGAACCUGAAACCGUGUACGUACAAGCAGUGGGAGCACCCUUUGGGGUGUGACUGCGUACCUUUUGUAUAAUGGGUCAGCGACUUAUAUUCUGUAGCAAGGUUAACCGUAUAGGGGAGCCGUAGGGAAACCGAGUCUUAACCGGGCGUUAAGUUGCAGGGUAUAGACCCGAAACCCGGUGAUCUAGCCAUGGGCAGGUUGAAGGUUGGGUAACACUAACUGGAGGACCGAACCGACUAAUGUUGAAAAAUUAGCGGAUGACCUGUGGCUGGGGGUGAAAGGCCAAUCAAACCGGGAGAUAGCUGGUUCUCCCCGAAAGCUAUUUAGGUAGCGCCUCGUGAAUUCAUCUCCGGGGGUAGAGCACUGUUUCGGCUAGGGGGCCAUCCCGGCUUACCAACCCGAUGCAAACUGCGAAUACCGGAGAAUGUUAUCACGGGAGACACACGGCGGGUGCUAACGUCCGUCGUGAAGAGGGAAACAACCCAGACCGCCAGCUAAGGUCCCAAAGUCAUGGUUAAGUGGGAAACGAUGUGGGAAGGCCCAGACAGCCAGGAUGUUGGCUUAGAAGCAGCCAUCAUUUAAAGAAAGCGUAAUAGCUCACUGGUCGAGUCGGCCUGCGCGGAAGAUGUAACGGGGCUAAACCAUGCACCGAAGCUGCGGCAGCGAACGUAUCACCCAAGACAACUUUACGGAGUUGACGAUUGACGGAGCGAAGCGACGUCAAAGCGUUCAUUAAAGUCGAGUUGGCUUAGGGAUACGUUCGUUGGGUAGGGGAGCGUUCUGUAAGCCUGUGAAGGUGUGUCGUGAGGCAUGCUGGAGGUAUCAGAAGUGCGAAUGCUGACAUAAGUAACGAUAAAGCGGGUGAAAAGCCCGCUCGCCGGAAGACCAAGGGUUCCUGUCCAACGUUAAUCGGGGCAGGGUGAGUCGACCCCUAAGGCGAGGCCGAAAGGCGUAGUCGAUGGGAAACGGGUUAAUAUUCCCGUACUUGGUGUUACUGCGAAGGGGGGACGGAGAAGGCUAUGUUGGCCGGGCGACGGUUGUCCCGGUUUAAGCGUGUAGGUGUGUGUUCCAGGUAAAUCCGGUUCACUUUAACACUGAGGCGUGACGACGAGGCACUACGGUGCUGAAGCAACAAAUGCCCUGCUUCCAGGAAAAGCCUCUAAGCAUCAGGUAACAUCAAAUCGUACCCCAAACCGACACAGGUGGUCAGGUAGAGAAUACCAAGGCGCUUGAGAGAACUCGGGUGAAGGAACUAGGCAAAAUGGUGCCGUAACUUCGGGAGAAGGCACGCUGACACGUAGGUGAAGUGAUUUACUCAUGGAGCUGAAGUCAGUCGAAGAUACCAGCUGGCUGCAACUGUUUAUUAAAAACACAGCACUGUGCAAACACGAAAGUGGACGUAUACGGUGUGACGCCUGCCCGGUGCCGGAAGGUUAAUUGAUGGGGUCAGCGCAAGCGAAGCUCCUGAUCGAAGCCCCGGUAAACGGCGGCCGUAACUAUAACGGUCCUAAGGUAGCGAAAUUCCUUGUCGGGUAAGUUCCGACCUGCACGAAUGGCGUAAUGAUGGCCAGGCUGUCUCCACCCGAGACUCAGUGAAAUUGAACUCGCUGUGAAGAUGCAGUGUACCCGCGGCAAGACGGAAAGACCCCGUGAACCUUUACUAUAGCUUGACACUGAACAUUGAGCCUUGAUGUGUAG